GAUGAAGAACGCAGCGAAAUGCGAUAAGUAAUGCGAAUUGCAGAAUUUCCGUGAGUCAUCGAAUCUUUGAACGCACAUUGUGCCCACUGGUAUUCCGGUGGGCAUGCCUGUUCGAGCGUCAUUAUCCUCCCUCAAACCUCGGGUUUGGUGUUGGACCCAAGUUGUGUGAACAACUGGUCUCAAAGACAAUGACGGCGUCCGUGGGACCCUCGGUGCAACGAGCUUUUAAACGAGCACGCGUCGAGUUUCAAGGACCUUCCGGGCCGGUCUCCUUCUUUUAUUUACAAAGGUUGACCUCGGAUCAGGUAGGAAUACCCGCUGAACUUAAGCAUAUCAAUAAGCGGAGGA
rnacentral:misc_RNA from 1 species